UGUGAGCUAGACAUCCCUAGCAGUACCCCCAUUCACUUUGGCCUAGGUUAUGAAUGACAUUCAUGGAAAAAUAAAAAGGGAAAAAAACAGCCACUGCCAUGCAAAAAACAAGGUAUGCAGAUCACAAGAAGACACAGUACGUUACCUCAGUUUCUGGAGUAGGAGAUGGAGUAAUGGAACCAAGAGAUCCUUUUCGUGAGCCCUGGAGAUCUGUUGGGAUGGACACAGGACGCUGCCACUGAGUUGUUCCUGUGGGACUAUCAAGCUGUAGAAAGAAACAAGCAAUCUCCUGGACUGAUGUUUCCACAAGCACUUGCACAGAGAUGAUGAAGGCUGAUUGCAGCAUGUGAAUUGAGCCACUGAG